rnacentral:tRNA from 1 species
GCGCCCGUAGCUCAGCUGGAUAGAGUACUUGGCUACGAACCAAGGGGUCGCACGUUCGAAUCGUGCCGGGCGCACCA